UCCCUACUGGCUCAGCUGGUAAAGAAUCUGCCUGCAAUGAAGGAGACCUGGGUUUGAUCCCUAGGUUGGGAA
rfam:TPA: Bos taurus chromosome 3, whole genome shotgun sequence.